rnacentral:rRNA from 1 species
AUUGAACGCUGGCGGCAUGCCUUACACAUGCAAGUCGAACGGUAACAGGUUAAGCUGACGAGUGGCGAACGGGUGAGUAAUGUAUCGGAACGUGCCCAGUCGUGGGGGAUAACUGCUCGAAAGAGCAGCUAAUACCGCAUACGACCUGAGGGUGAAAGCGGGGGAUCGCAAGACCUCGCGCGAUUGGAGCGGCCGAUAUCAGAUUAGGUAGUUGGUGGGGUAAAGGCCUACCAAGCCUACGAUCUGUAGCUGGUCUGAGAGGACGACCAGCCACACUGGGACUGAGACACGGCCCCAGACUCCUACGGGAGGCAGCAGUGGGGGAAUUUUGGACAAUGGACGCAAGUCUGAUCCAGCCAUGCCGCGUGCGGGGAAGAAGGGCCUUCGGGUUGUAACCGAC